AAUAACCUUAUUUUUCAUUUUUUCGUAUCCAACGUUUGACCAUUCGUCUUAUUUGAAAUUUUUUUGCGAUUAAUAUUUUUAUUGUUACUAGAUGAUAAAAUAUAAAUAGUACUUUAUACGUGACUAAUUUUUUAAGUUUUGUACAAAUUUUUCAAAUAAGACGAAUGGUCAAAUAUUGGAUACGGAAAAAC
rfam:Oryza brachyantha chromosome 2, whole genome shotgun sequence.